GGCAAGCUGAUGAAUAUUUCCGAGAGCUUUGCUUUCAAUGUUCCUCCCUCACAACAAGCCACGUUCACCCCUGUUUUCCCAGGAUGUCCUCCAAGAACUGCAGUCAGGAGAGAAGUUGAGCUCCCGUCCUUCUAUUCCGCCAUCUUAAUCCCCUCCUCGAGAAACGCUGAAGGCUGAUGAUCAUCUUAAACACCUGAAGAUGCAAGGAGCCAAAUCCAUCAUAAACCUGAUUUAAACAAACUGUAAAAAUGCUUUUUUUAAAAAAACAGAGGAAAAUAAACUCUGACCUAUGUAAUAAG